rnacentral:rRNA from 1 species
UACGUAGGGUGCGAGCGUUGUCCGGAAUUAUUGGGCGUAAAGAGCUCGUAGGCGGUGUGUCGCGUCGGCCGUGAAAACCUGGGGCUCAACUCUGGGCGUGCGGUCGAUACGGGCAUCACUUGAGUUCGGCAGGGGAGACUGGAAUUCCUGGUGUAGCGGUGAAAUGCGUAGAUAUCAGUCGGAACACCGGUGGCGAGGGCGGCUUCUUGGGCCCUACCUGACGCUGAGGCGCGAAAGCCAGGGGAGCGAACGGG